rnacentral:rRNA from 1 species
GGGGAAGUUGGGGGGGGGGCUUACACAUGCAAGUCAACGAUGAUGCCCAGCUUGCUGGGCGGAUUAGUGGCGAACGGGUGAGUAAUACGUGAGUAACCUGCCCUUGACUCUGGGAUAAGCCUGGGAAACUGGGUCUAAUACUGGAUACUACCUCUUACCGCAUGGUGGGUGGUGGAAAGGGUUUUACUGGUUUUGGAUGGGCUCACGGCCUAUCAGCUUGUUGGUGGGGUAAUGGCUCACCAAGGCGACGACGGGUAGCCGGCCUGAGAGGGUGACCGGCCACACUGGGACUGAGACACGGCCCAGACUCCUACGGGAGGCAGCAGUGGGGAAUAUUGCACAAUGGGCGGAAGCCUGAUGCAGCGACGCCGCGUGAGGGAUGACGGCCUUCGGGUUGUAAACCUCUUUCAGUAGGGAAGAAGCGAGAGUGACGGUACCUGCAGAAGAAGCGCCGGCUAACUACGUGCCACCAGCCGCGGUAAUACGUAGGGCGCAAGCGUUGUCCGGAAUUAUUGGGCGUAAAGAGCUCGUAGGCGGUUUGUCGCGUCUGCUGUGAAAGCCCGGGGCUCAACCCCGGGUCUGCAGUGGGUACGGGCAGACUAGAGUGCAGUAGGGGAGACUGGAAUUCCUGGUGUAGCGGUGAAAUGCGCAGAUAUCAGGAGGAACACCGAUGGCGAAGGCAGGUCUCUGGGCUGUUACUGACGCUGAGGAGCGAAAGCAUGGGGAGCGAACAGGAUUAGAUACCCUGGUAGUCCAUGCCGUAAACGUUGGGCACUAGGUGUGGGGGACAUUCCCACGUUUUCCGCGCCGUAGCUAACGCAUUAAGUGCCCCGCCUGGGGAGUACGGCCGCAAGGCUAAAACUCAAAGGAAUUGACGGGGGCCCGCACAAGCGGCGGAGCAUGCGGAUUAAUUCGAUGCAACGCGAAGAACCUUACCAAGGCUUGACAUUCACCGGACCGCCCCAGAGAUGGGGUUUCCCUUCGGGGCUGGUGGACAGGUGGUGCAUGGUUGUCGUCAGCUCGUGUCGUGAGAUGUUGGGUUAAGUCCCGCAACGAGCGCAACCCUCGUUCUAUGUUGCCAGCACGUGAUGGUGGGGACUCAUAGGAGACUGCCGGGGUCAACUCGGAGGAAGGUGGGGAUGACGUCAAAUCAUCAUGCCCCUUAUGUCUUGGGCUUCACGCAUGCUACAAUGGCCGGUACAAAGGGUUGCGAUACUGUGAGGUGGAGCUAAUCCCAAAAAGCCGGUCUCAGUUCGGAUUGAGGUCUGCAACUCGACCUCAUGAAGUCGGAGUCGCUAGUAAUCGCAGAUCAGCAACGCUGCGGUGAAUACGUUCCCGGGCCUUGUACACACCGCCCGUCAAGUCACGAAAGUUGGUAACACCCGAAGCCGGUGGCCUAACCCCUUGUGGGAGGGAGCCGUCGAAAGUGGACCGCCAUGCCUCCUGUAAC